AAAACGGAGAGUUUGAUCCUGGCUCAGGAUGAACGCUGGCGGUAUGCUUAACACAUGCAAGUCGAACGGGGCUUUUCGGAGCCUAGUGGCGGACGGGUG
rnacentral:rRNA from 1 species